GAAUUGCAGUAGUAGACUAGCUAGUCUAUUUCAUUCCAAUUUGCACUGAAGUCCACAAACUAAAACCGAUUAGUAAUACUGAUCCAGUGCCCUAACUAUUGAAAAGAUGCAAGACCUCUCCGUGGUCAACAGAUCGUUCCAACUGAACCAAAGAAGAAAAGAGUGAAAUACCACACACCCCACUCACAAACCCAACUCCGCUAUUUUCGGUGAUUUCCUAGCGUCGUGUGCGAUGAAAUUACCAUUCCCACGGAUGAACAAACACAGAGAAUUACAAACAAGGCUUGAACUAAGAUGCACUGAAAUUCCGCAAGGCUCAAGUCCAUACACCCACAAAGCAAGCGCGUCCGAUCAGCGGAAGAUGUACAUGACGAAGGCCGCCGUGAGAACGAGGAAGUGGUCUAUCCCCUUGUCCACGGUCAAUCC
rnacentral:lncRNA from 1 species